GCCAGCGUAGCUCAGGGGUAGAGCACUUCCUUGGUAAGGAAGGGGUCACGAGUUCAAAUCUCGUCGCCGGCU
rnacentral:tRNA from 2 species